GACGAACGCUGGCGGCGUGCUUAACACAUGCGAGUCGAACGGAAAGGCCCUGCUUUUGUGGGGUGCUCGAGUGGCGAACGGGUGAGUAACACGUGAGUAACCUGCCCUUGACUUUGGGAUAACUUCAGGAAACUGGGGCUAAUACCGGAUAGGAGCUCCUGCUGCAUGGUGGGGGUUGGAAAGUUUCGGCGGUUGGGGAUGGACUCGCGGCUUAUCAGCUUGUUGGUGGGUAGUGGCUUACCAAGGCUUUGACGGGUAGCCGGCCUGAGAGGGUGACCGGCCACAUUGGGACUGAGAUACGGCCCAGACUCCUACGGGAGGCAGCAGUGGGGAAUAUUGCACAAUGGGCGGAAGCCUGAUGCAGCAACGCCGCGUGCGGGAUGACGGCCUUCGGGUUGUAAACCGCUUUCGCCUGUGACGAAGCGUGAGUGACGGUAAUGGGUAAAGAAGCACCGGCUAACUACGUG
rnacentral:rRNA from 1 species